AAAGAUAAAUAAGAAAAAAAAGAAGAAGAAGAUGAAGAAGAAGAAGAAGAAGAAGACCUGAAUGGUCUUAACAGGAGGCUUAUUCAAGCGAUUCAAAUGCCUAUUGACUUCAAGCUUCUGUCUUGAACCACCGAGCCUAGCAGCACAGGAGUGAGAACUAAAGAGACCCAACAACAACAAUAACAACAGAGAAAACAACACUAC